rnacentral:rRNA from 1 species
UGGGGAAUAUUGCACAAUGGGCGCAAGCCUGAUGCAGCCAUGCCGCGUGUGUGAAGAAGGCCUUCGGGUUGUAAAGCACUUUCAGCGAGGAGGAAGGUGGUGAGCUUAAUACGCUCAUCAAUUGACGUUACUCGCAGAAGAAGCACCGGCUAACUCCGUGCCAGCAGCCGCGGUAAUACGGAGGGUGCAAGCGUUAAUCGGAAUUACUGGGCGUAAAGCGCACGCAGGCGGUUUGUUAAGUCAGAUGUGAAAUCCCCGGGCUCAACCUGGGAACUGCAUUUGAAACUGGCAAGCUAGAGUCUCGUAGAGGGGGGUAGAAUUCCAGGUGUAGCGGUGAAAUGCGUAGAGAUCUGGAGGAAUACCGGUGGCGAAGGCGGCCCCCUGGACGAAGACUGACGCUCAGGUGCGAAAGCGUGGGGCAGCAAACAGGAUUAGAUACCCUGGUAGUCCAGCGCUGUAAACGAUGUCGAUUUGGAGGUUGUGCCCUUGAGGCGUGGCUUCCGGAGCUAACGCGUUAAAUCGACCGCCUGGGGAGUACGGCCGCAAGGUUAAAACUCAAAUGAAUUGACGGGGUCU